GAGUUUUUGAUGUCGCAGAUACUGCAUCAGGAACUGAUUGGAUAAGAAUUGGUCACCAUCAGUUCUUAAUGCAUUGCCUUCAGCAUCUAAACA
rfam:Sus scrofa chromosome 3.